ACAUACACGCGGGCGCACACAAUCAUAUAUUGUGUAAAACCUUUGAUAUAAGAAGUUUCAACCUUAAUGUGCAGAGUCAAAGCUGAUUCAAAUUUUAGUCUUUAUAAGUUAUAUCAUAUAUGCAGCAAUACCAUUCAAUCUUGAAAGUAUUUACCCUUAUUAUCUAUAAUUUUUUGCCAUCUCUCGGGUGUAAGUUUCGCAUUCCGUUGCAACAGAAAGACAUCAGUUUGGAGGUAAUGAAAUUAUCGAUCUAUUUUCGUCAUCCAUUUCUACCACAUCUCGAAAACGCUGUCCGGCUAAAGCGUUUUGCAUCGACUGGAAUAAAAGAUAAUUCGAAGGCGCCAAGUCAGUUCUGCAGCCAAAUCAUUCCCAGUGAGAAGGAAUUGGGCAAGAUGCCAGCAAGAGGGAGAUUAGCACUUAAUCACUUUAACACAAAUUUUAUAAUAAGCAGCUAUAUUUUUAUAUUUAGAAAUUGUUCUACAAAUUCUUCCAAACACUUUCUAUUCUUUUUCUUCUAAUAAAUAAUCAAA